rnacentral:pre_miRNA from 1 species
AGGUUUCGGUGGUGCUGGUUCCAAUUCAGGUCGCGGCUGCGUUCCCUGUUGCUGGGCUCUGAAUUGAAAUCAGCGCCCUUGAAACUUUGC